rnacentral:rRNA from 1 species
GACGAACGCUGGCGGCGUGCUUAACACAUGCAAGUCGAACGAAGUGGCGAACGGUUGAGUAAUACGUGGGUAACCUGCCCUCCUUUUUGGAAUAAGCCUUGGAAACGGUGUCAAAUACCGAAUACAGUGGGAGGGGCUCGCGGCCUAUCGGCUUGUUGUGGGGGUGAUGGUCUACCAAGGCGGUGCCGGGUAGCGGGCCUGAGAGGGUGACCGGCCACAUUGGGACGGAGCGACGGCCUAGACGCGUACGCGAUGGAGAAGUGGGGGAUAUUGCAGAAUGGGCGACAGAGUGAUGCAGCGUCGCCGCGUGGGGGAUGAAGGCCGUCGGGUUGUGAAGCUAUUUCGCAAUCGAACGGGUAGGUGGAGAAGAAGCGCCGGCUAACUACGUGCCAGCAGCCGCGGUAAUUC